UCCCAGUGUGAACGCACUUAUGCACUCAAAGUAGUAAGUGUAAGUACAGAAGUACGCGGAUUGGGUCACACUCUUUCUCUCUACAUUGAGGGACUUUUGGAGCUCAUGCUGCUACUUUCACUGGAGAGGAGUUGUCAACACUGAGCUGGGUUUAUAGGUUGGAUACUUUUAAAAUCACGUGUCCCCUUGCUAGUUUCUCAACAUCGCCAACCCUAGCUUUACAUGGGAGAGAACGACAGCCAAUAGACAACCAAGCUGACUGAAGAAGGAAGGACGACCACCGCUGUCGUCAUGGCGGCCGCGGCCAGCGCAUGAACUAAUGCUAAACGUGAAGCAUAAAGUAGUAGUAAAGAGUCUAGAAGCAAAGAGACAAAACUCCAACCAUUUUGGACUGAAAACAAUUAUUAUAUUUAUAAUAUUUUAUUGUUCCAACACAGGCCGUUUCGGUAGAAGAUGACAAUAGAAUUGAAAUAAUUUAGUUUUGCUUUUGUACGGCUCUUUGUAGGCAGACGUUUUACUGGCGUCCGGUAGUCGCUUUCAGUCCAAAAUGGCGGAAGCGUAGCUCUGCUGCUGGCCGCUGAUGUUGACAUGGAACGAACUAUUGACUUUCACUCUUUAGCGAUAUACGUUCUUUGUGGUGAGAUGGAGAUCAGAAAUGGAGGAUAACUCUUGGUCUGUGUUUCUUCUUUCCAGGUGUGGCUUUUCUCUUGAUUGGGAAUCAAUAAAGAGAGCAGCCACACCUGGAGAGAAGAAACAGACCAGGGGGGGGGAGCAUGUAACAAUCCCGGACGAGCCCCCAAAUAUGUUCGACCUCAUCAACGAGCUUUUCUCUGGGUCGUAACAUCGAUUGUGUCUGACAGCCUGUGUCCCUCCGGUGCAGAGCUAGUGUGUUUAUUUAACGUGUCUCUGUGACUUCAUCCAUCCAUCCUUCCUCAGUCUCCACUACAAAGUCAAAACUAACAUCUCUAAUUCUUUCAUGUUUGUUCACACUAAAGUCACGUUUGAUCAUCAGAGAUUUAGUGAGGUUAACAUUUGUUUUAGUGGGACUUUAGUGUUGUUGAUGAAUGAAUGAGUUAGUGUGCUGUUGCUGUUUCUCUCAUCACACUACAGGAACUAAACUGUUCAAUUGAACACAACACGUCGUUAUGUGUGGGCUCUCUCACAUUUUACACAUAUGGUAACAUCUGAAACAUUUGUUAGUGUGGACCAGCCUUAAGGUUAAGCAUUGACCUUGAAUGGUUAAGGUUAGGAUUAGCGUAGCUUAGCAUUAAGACUCAAAGCAGAGGGAAAGAAAUGUAUAAAACAUAAAAUCACAACAGGUCGUUUUUAUACUUUGGUUUCUGUACGGACUAAAGAAAGUGUUAAUUAGACUGAAGACUGAACUGGAAUAAGAUCUAAUGUGAGGAGGGGGUGAAGCCUAGGUGAGAGGAAUAAGCUGAUUGGCUGGGAGGACUAACGAGGUUCAUUCAGAGCAGGUGUGUAGAAGGUAACGGAGGGAGAGACAGUUCAGGAACAUGUUGAACUGUGCCAGAGUUACGUUCUCUCAAAGUUCUUCUGUUGCUCUUCUUCUCUUUUCAGUCAGAUCACAGCCUCGUGUUGAGUUUUGAGCAUGUGUGUCUCUUAAUAUAAACUAACAUUGUCAGAGAUUGGUAAAAGCUAUCCAUCAAAAUAAUGAAGGGAAAUUGACGUUUUAAAUGCAGUUUGAAUGAUAAAACCAGCUGAGCCACUGUGGAGAUAUUAAUGUCUAAAGUCAAGAAGACGGUCUGAUGGUGUAAUGUAGGGAUGUUAAUAAUUAAGCAUUUUAACCGAUUAACGCUAUCGGUUAAAACGGUUAAAAGAAAUGUUAAUAAUUAGCUCAAAAGCUGAGCGGCUCAGAGGAGCGGCUCGUCUCUUUAAGGAAAGGUCCACCUAGAGCUGGAGAACAUACAUACGCUCCUGUAGAAGCUCCAGUAACAGUAGAGUUAAAGCCAGCAGCUGAUGGUCAGUGCUGUCCAUCAGGUCGGAGGAUUAGUGAGGGUUAAUGGAGCCGGACUGCUAACUUUACUCUUUACAACCUCACAUCUCUACUGUAACAUUAAUAAUCAUUUUAAGGUCAAUAAAGUAUUUCGUAUUCUGAAGUUA